rnacentral:rRNA from 1 species
CGGGGCUUAAAGUCUUGUAAUUGGAAUGAUGGGAAUUUAAACCUCUUCCAGAGUAUCAAUUGGAGGGCAAGUCUGGUGCCAGCAGCCGCGGUAAUUCCAGCUCCAAUAGCGUAUAUUAAAAUUGUUGCAGUUAAAAAGCUCGUAGUUGAAUUUCUGCUGCAUUGCUAGUGUCCCUCUGGGGUCUGUGCAUGUGGCUUUUUUCGGACGGAGUUUCUUUGUCUGAAUGUUUACUUUGAGAAAAUUAGAGUGCUCAAAGCAGGCUUUCGCCUUGAAUAGUUUAGCAUGGAAUAAUAAAGUAGGACUUUGGUUCUAUUUUGUUGGUUUUAGGUACCAAAGUAAUGGUUAAUAGGAACAGUUGGGGGCAUUCGUAUUUAACUGUCAGAGGUGAAAUUCUUAGAUUUGUUAAAGACGAACUACUGCGAAAGCAUUUGCCAAGGAUGUUUUCAUUAAUCAAGAAC